rnacentral:rRNA from 1 species
GAACCGUGCGAACGUUGUUCGGAAUCACUGGGCUUAAAGGGCGCGUAGGCGGAUCAUCAAGUCCGGGGUGAAAUCUUUCGGCUUAACCGGAAAAGUGCCUUGGAUACUGGUGGUCUCGAGUGAGGUAGGGGCAUGUGGAACUUCUGGUGGAGCGGUGAAAUGCGUUGAUAUCAGAAGGAACUCCGGUGGCGAAAGCGACGUGCUGGACCUCUUCUGACGCUGAGGCGCGAAAGCUAGGGGAGCAAACGGG